rnacentral:lncRNA from 1 species
GAUCUCGGAGCUUCCUGGCCAAAGGCACAGCACGCAUGGCUGAACUCUAUUAAUUCUAGCUGGAAAACCCUGCAAGGAUACAGGAUGCUGGUCCUGUGUGGAAGGUGCCUGGUGGCUGAAGGUACAGCCCCAUAGGAAAAUCACAAAGUCCUCAUGUUAGAACCUACAUAAAAUAGAAAGUUAAAAAGAGGAGGAGCCUGUUCCUGACUUCUUGAGGCUACCAGGAGAGUAUAGCUUUGAGACUGUACCCUGGACUGUCUUCAACCCGCCCCCUACCCCUGGAUUCCAUGAAUGCUUCAAGAAGUACUUCACCUUGAGAUGAUGGGAGCUUAUGACUUCAGAUUUCUCUCAGCCCAGAAAUGCUGCCAUCCCUUCUGCUGUGAGCACCCUUGAGAUUUGCUAAAAACUGAAAUGGAAGUAGCUCUGUGUGAAGAACAUCUCUAAUGGGAUUUGUUGUCAUACAGAAAAAUCUCACAAUAUUUGAGAUGGUCUCUUGCCUUUUUGGAUUUUGAAUUUGACGCCUGUGACAUCAGUGAUGUAAAGAAAACAGUAUGACAUUAUGUUUAGAUUUUACUGAUGUAUAACUUAUAAUUAGCUGAGAUAAAGUAGAUGUACAAGUUGUUUGUGAUGCCUUCUGGAAAUCAUGAAGGUUUGGUACAGCUGCAGAACACAACUGCCAAAGAUAUCAGCAACCCACUCUCAAGCAAGCUUCAAUUUAUUAAAAACAAAUCUUUAAAUAUAGUAUAAGAAUAUUCAACAGCCAUCUCUUUGUGGCCAUCAAGAAUGUGCCUACUUCCUGUAUGUUUCUAUAAUGUUUUUUCUAUCUGUGUUCCUUCCCUCAUAAUUGUAGCGAAUACAGUUGUUAUUGCAUGGCUCUGG